GAGCCAGAAUUUGUGGAGAACAGGAUCAAAUUAUGAAGAAAAUCUUAAAAAUCUGUAUCUAUAUUUUCAUUCUACAAAUGAUUUAAUGAAAACCGGAGUGACAACAGGGACUGCUCAGAAUUAUGCAGGACACGGAUAUGGGAACCUGGCUUUGGUUAAUUGAGGGCAGCUUCUUCCAGGAGAAACCACAGACAUACAGAGGCAACAUCAAAUCUCAGCAAGUCUCUCCAAGUGUUGGGAUACCUUCAAGGGCUCCUUAGGCAUUCUCACUGCCAGAACCAGAAGUUUGGAACCAUGAUGACAGAUGUGGAAAGCCUCAUCUCUAUGUGAUAGUGUCUAUCCUCACAUUAAGACCAAACUCAUUUCAACUCUUCGGAAAUGGAUUCACUGGUUUCAGCACAAUGACUCCACAUUUUUUUUAGCACCUCAAAUAUUUAUACCAAUUUGUCAGCAGCAAGUAUCAGUGACAAGUGGAGAUAAAGUAUUAUUUAUGCUGAUAUAUCCAAUUUUUACUUGUUUGACUGCUUUCUUGAAAGAUGAUGCUUUGGAAAAUAAAAUGUAACAUUUA